rnacentral:rRNA from 1 species
UACGUAGGAAGCAAGCGUUGUCCGGAAUCACUGGGCGUAAAGCGCGUGUAGGCGGUAUGGCAAGUCUGCUGUGAAAGCUCUCGGCUUAACCGGGAGAGGUCGGUGGAAACUGCCACACUGGAGGACGGUAGAGGGGGGUGGAAUUCCCGGUGUAGUGGUGAAAUGCGUAGAGAUCGGGAGGAACACCUGUGGCGAAGGCGGCCCCCUGGGCCGGCCCUGACGCUGAGACGCGAAAGCGUGGGGAGCGAACAGG